GGGGCCUGCUGGGUCCCAUCUAAUCGCCCACUCCCUUGUUUGUCUAUCUGUGCACGAAGGGUUGACAGUCAACCCGCAGCCCUGCUCCCUCGCUGUUUCCCUGCGGUCGUUCACUGGGUCGCUCACUAGGUCCAUCCCUGCGGCUGGGUUCCGCAUGCCUGAGUCCGUCUGACUGAGUUUUCCUGUGCAACCCCGCUCCGCCAGCUGCUGGUUUUGCCCUUCUUACAGGCUGCUGUGCCUGGGACUCUGAAAAUCAUAUUUCUCUUAUGUCAGCUCUUCCCGUCAGGGUCGUCUAACUGGCUGUACAGAGGAACUAGGACACUAAAGAGGUAUAUUGUGGAGCAAGAAAAUCAGAACCACUGCUAUAAAGUAAUCAAAACAAUAUACUACUGGCAUAAAAAUAGGCACAUAGACCAAUAGGAUGGCACUGAGAAUCCAGAAAUAAAUCGCACAUAUAUGGUUAACUAGUAUUUGACAAGGGAGCCAAAAAUACUCAAUGGAAAGGAGUCUCUUCAAUAAAUGGCCUUGGGAAAACUAGAUAUUCAUAUUCAAAGGAAUGAAAUUGGACCCCUAUCUUACAGCAGUCACAGAAAUUAACUUAAAAAGGAUCACAGACUUAAAUUUAAGACCCUAUAUUGAAGUCUUAAAGCUCCUACACAAAGACAUGAGGAAAAAGCUUCCUUGACAUUGGUCUUGGCAACAAUGUUUUGGAUAUGACACCAAAAGAAACAAAAGCAAAAAUAAACAAACUGGAACACCAAACUAAAAAGCUUCUACACAGCAAAAGAAACCAUCAACAAAAUGAAAACACGACCUACAAAAUGGGAGAAAAAUCUUUGCAAGCUAUAUAUCUAAUAAGGGGUUAAUAUCCAAAACAUAUAAGGAAUUCAUACAACCAAGUAGCAGGAAAAAAUCCAAUUUAAAAGUGGGCAGAAGAUCGAAUAAACAUUCUUCCAAAAAGGAUAUACAAAUGAAAAGAUGUUUAAUAUCACUAGUCAACAGGGAAAUGCAAAUCAAAACCACAAUGAGGUAUCACAUUACAACUCUUAAAAUGGCUAUUCUCAGAAAGACAAGAACAAGUAUUAGUGAACAUAUGGAGAAAAUGGAACACUUGUACAUUGGUGGUGAGAAUGUAAAUUGGUACAGCGACUAUAGAAAACAGUAUGGAACUUCCUCAAGAAAUUAAAAAUAAAACUAUCAUAUGAUUUAACAAUACCACUCCUGGGUUUAUACCUGAAGAAAAUGAAAUCUCUGUCUUGUAGAGAUAUAUGUAUGCUCACAUUCAGUGCCACAUUAUUCACAGUGACCAAUACAUGGAAACAACCUAAGUGUCCAUCAAUGAAUGAAAGGAUAAAGAAAAUGUGAGAGUAUAUAUAUUUAAUAUACAUGAUAUAUUAAAUAUAUAAUAUCUAGAUGAUACAGGGUGCAGCCGGGGGGGGGGGGCCCAAAAAACAGAUUUGGAAUGGUGUCCAGAAUUCAAAGUGUAUAGGAAUAUUGGAGAGACAUGUAAGAUGUCCUCACCCCCCCUCCCCAGGGGGAAGAA